UUAUUGUCUUGCCCUGAGAUAAUCUGCUAAUGAAAUAGUGGUGUCUUCGGGUGGAACCUGAGGGGACAGAGAGCAAUGUGACACCUUGGUCAUGGAGACUUCCCCUUUGCUCCCCUCAGCAAGUGCCAAAGGCCAGCCUCACCAGCAGUAAUCAGAGAAGACAGAUAGGAGGUAUUAAUACAGCAAACUCACAGCUGGAUGGCACCAACCUGACCCAGGAGAAACUCCCUAGCCUGCCAGCUACAUUCCCUCUUGGAUUAUCUCCUCCAAAUUUAGCCCACUUUCAGAGUCAGGGGAAACUACUUUCUCUAGAUUAAUAACCUACAAAGCAUCAGGUGUCAGCAGUUGUCUUAUGUCUCUAGACAAUUUUUUAGGAACUGUAGUACAGCCCCCUGAUAAAAAGGGCAUUUAUUUAACACAUGUUUAUUGGGCAUCUUCCCUAUCCCGAGCAGUGUGCUAGACUCCAGGAAUACCUUAAUGAGUUAGUAACAGAGCUCCCUUAACAGAGAUCUAGACUCACUGCAUGGAAAGGACAGAGGAGUUCUAAUAGGUUUUUCUUUUUUAAAGAUUUAUCCAUUAAUAUGAGAGGGAGAGAGAGCAUGUGUGAGAGUGAACAGGGAGAAGGACAGAGAGAGAGAGUCCUGAAGCAGACUCCCCGCUGAGAGUGGAGCAUAACAGGGGCUCCAUCCCAGGACCCAGAGAUCACAAUCUGAGCUGAAAUCAAGAGUUGGCUGCUUAACCCACUGAGACCCAGGUCCCCCUAGAUAGUUUUAAUACACUAGUGAUGACACAAAGAGAAGGGUUGGCUCUGAGCAGGAGGGCCACCUUUGCUUCUGCAAUGGUAGGAAGAGAAGUGAGGGUGUGGGAGGAGGUAGGGGGGCAGAGUUUAGGGUUUGGGGAUAUUACAUUGAGUGGGAUGAAUUCUCUUGAUGAAGGAGGGUUUGUUCUGAGCAUGAGGAAUCUGGAGGCAAGUGGAGGUCUUGAGGAUGACUUCAGGGCUCUCUGUGUCAGAGAAGUUUGGGGUUAAAUGCUUGAAGAAAAUCUCCUGCUAGGCCUCUUUUAAAGCAGAGGUCUUGAAGUGACCUCCAGGCUAAUACUUUUACAGGUAUGCUUCAUUUGUAAUGAAGAGUGUUUUGAAGUUUUAAAAAAACUGUGGGCAAUAUUUGAAAGUAGAUUUCACCUUAAAAUGUAAGAUUUUAGUGUUUCCUGGGGAAACUGGAUGGCC
rnacentral:lncRNA from 12 species